rnacentral:rRNA from 1 species
GACAGAGGUGCCAAGCGUUAGGCGGAAUCACUGGGCUUAAAGCGUGUGUAGGCGGGUGCCUAAGUACCUUGUGAAAUCCCACGGCUCAACCGUGGAACUGCUCGGUAUACUGGGUGCCUUGAGCCACUUAGGGGCUACCGGAACAAAUGGUGGAGCGGUGAAAAUGCGUAGAUAUCAUUUGGAACGCCAAUGGUGAAAACAGGUAGCUGGGAGUGUGCUGACGCUGAGACACGAAAGCCAGGGGAGCGAACGGG